rnacentral:rRNA from 1 species
GACGAACGCUGGCGGCGUGCUUAACACAUGCGAGUCGAACGGAAAGGCCCUGCUUUUGUGGGGUGCUCGAGUGGCGAACGGGUGAGUAACACGUGAGUAACCUGCCCUUGACUUUGGGAUAACUUCAGGAAACUGGGGCUAAUACCGGAUAGGAGCUCCUGCUGCAUGGUGGGGGUUGGAAAGUUUCGGCGGUUGGGGAUGGACUCGCGCCUUAUCAGCUUGUUGGUGGGGUAGUGGCUUACCAAGGCUUUGACGGGUAGCCGGCCUGAGAGGGUGACCGGCCACAUUGGGACUGGGAUACGGCCCAGCCUCCUACGGGAGGCAGCAGUGGGGAAUAUUGCACAAUGGGCGGAAGCCUGAUGCAGCAACGCCGCGUGCGGGAUGACGGCCUUCGGGUUGUAAACCGCUUUCGCCUGUGACGAAGCGUGAGUGACGGUAAUGGGUAAAGAAGCACCGGCUAACUACGUG